rnacentral:rRNA from 1 species
CCUACGGGAGGCAGCAGUGGGGAAUAUUGGACAAUGGGGGGAACCCUGAUCCAGCGACGCCGCGUGAGUGAAGAAGUAUUUCGGUAUGUAAAGCUCUAUCAGCAGGGAAGAAAGAAAUGACUGUACCGAUAAAGGAAGCAUCGGCUAACUCCGUGCCAGCAGACGCGGUAAUACGGGGGGCGCAAGCGUUGUUCGGAUUCAUUGGGCGUAAAGCGUUCGUAGGCGGCAAGGUAAGUCAGCGGUAAAAGCCCGGGGCUCAACCCCGGCCCGCCGUUGAAACUGGCAGCCUCGAGUUGGCGAGAAGUAUGCGGAAUGCGCGGUGUAGCGGUGAAAUGCAUAGAUAUCGCGCAGAACUCCGAUUGCGAAGGCAGCAUACCGGCUCCACACUGACGCUGAGGCACGAAAGCGUGGGUAUCGAACAGGAUUAGAUACCCCUGUAGUC